AUUGAACGCUGGCGGCAUGCCUUACACAUGCAAGUCGAACGGUAACAGGUCUUCGGAUGCUGACGAGUGGCGAACGGGUGAGUAAUACAUCGGAACGUGCCUAGUAGUGGGGGAUAACUACUCGAAAGAGUGGCUAAUACCGCAUGAGAUCUACGGAUGACAGCAGGGGAUCGCAAGACCUUGUGCUACUAGAGCGGCCGAUGGCAGAUUAGGUAGUUGGUGGGAUAAAAGCUUAUCAAGCCGACGAUCUGUAGCUGGUCUGAGAGGACGAUCAGCCACACUGGGACUGAGACACGGCCCAGACUCCUACGGGAGGCAGCAGUGGGGAAUUUUGGACAAUGGGCGAAAGCCUGAUCCAGCAAUGCCGCGUGCAGGAUGAAGGCCUUCGGGUUGUAAACUGCUUUUGUACGGAACGAAAAGCCCCGGGUUAAUACGCUGGGGUCAUGACGGUACCGUAAGAAUAAGCACCGGCUAACUACGUGCCAGCAGCCGCAGUAA
rnacentral:rRNA from 1 species